AACGAACGCUGGCGGCAUGCCUAACACAUGCAAGUCGAACGAGACCUUCGGGUCUAGUGGCGCACGGGUGCGUAACGCGUGGGAACCUGCCCUUAGGUUCGGAAUAACUCCCCGAAAGGGGUGCUAAUACCGGAUAAUGUCUUCGGACCAAAGAUUUAUCGCCUUUGGAUGGGCCCGCGUUGGAUUAGCUAGUUGGUAGGGUAAAAGCCUACCAAGGCGACGAUCCAUAGCUGGUCUGAGAGGAUGAUCAGCCACACUGGGACUGAGACACGGCCCAGACUCCUACGGGAGGCAGCAGUGGGGAAUGUGGGACGAUGGGCGAAAGCCUGAUCCAGCAAUGCCGCGUGAGUGAUUAAGGCCUUAGGGUUGUAAAGCUCUUUUACCCGGGAUGAUAAUGACAGUACCGGGAGGAUAAGCUCCGGCUAACUCCGUG
rnacentral:rRNA from 1 species